UACGUAGGGGGCGAGCGUUGUCCGGAUUUAUUGGGCGUAAAGAGCUCGUAGGCGGUUCGAUAAGUCGGAUGUGAAAUCUCCACGCUCAACGUGGAGGGGCCAUUCGAUACUGUCGUGACUCGAGUCCGGUAGGGGAGUGUGGAAUUCCCGGUGUAGCGGUGAAAUGCGCAGAUAUCAGGAAGAACACCCGUGGCUAAGGCGGUUCUCUAGUACGGUACUGACGCUGAGACGCGAAAGCGUGGGGAGCGAACAGG
rnacentral:rRNA from 1 species